rnacentral:rRNA from 1 species
UAUUGCACAAUGGGGGAAACCCUGAUGCAGCGACGCCGCGUGAGUGAAGAAGUAUUUCGGGUUGUAAACUUCUUUUAGCAGGGACGAAGGACGUGACGGUACCUUCAGAAAAAGCAACGGCUAACUACGUGCCAGCAGCCGCGGUAAUACGUAGGUUGCAAGCGUUGUCCGGAUUUACUGGGUGUAAAGGGGGUGUAGACGGGGAAGCAAGUUGGGAGUGAAAUCCAUGGGCUCAACCCAUGAACUGCUCUCAAAACUGUUUCCCUUGAGUAUCGGAGAGGCAAGCGGAAUUCCUAGUGUAGCGGUGAAAUGCGUAGAUAUUAGGAGGAACACCAGUGGCGAAGGCGGCUUGCUGGACGACAACUGACGCUGAGGCGCGAAAGCGUGGGGAGCAAACAGG